rnacentral:tRNA from 1 species
GGCUCUGUAGCUCAGUGGUUAGAGCGAGGGAUUCAUAAGCCCUAGGUCGCAGGUUCAAAUCUUGCCAGAGUCA